GGGGGGUGGGGGAGGGCACCCUCCGGCGGGCGGCUGGGCGAGCCGCUCUGAGCACCGCGAGCGCACUGCGCGGCUGCCGGCCCGCGCCCUUAACCCUUCGGUGCGCGCUGCCUGCCCGGGCUCCCGGCCCCCGGGGAAGCCGGCGCGUUUCCCCAAGACCGGCCCGGGAUCCGCGGCCGCGGGGCGGGAGGGGAGACCCAAGCCGGAGGGGACAGUUCUUCCAGGUUUGGGAAAGGGGCGGGGAGCUGAAGCGAUGAGAUCCGGAAAUCUGCUCUGGGUCUGGAUCUGCCCAGCUCCGACCCGGGUAGACGACCCGCGCACCUCUCUCGCCGCCCAUUCAGGAUCACUAAUUUCAUCGGAAAUGAGGUAACCAGUGCAGGAGACAGAGAAAGCAAAUCGAGCAUCAAAUGGCAGUUCUCGUGAAUCCACGCUAAAGGACUUCCUCUGGACUCAAUUCCUAAGUGCGGUUCUCAACCCCUCACCACCCCGCCCCUCCGCAGGUACCACCGCCGAGAGUUAGCUCGAACGGGGGAGGGGUGGUACCUGGCCAACAGGUGUAGCGCCUGGAAAGAAGAGAAGGUUCAUCCACGCUAAAGGGAGCUCAGUGCGCCUUCUGCGGGCUGCAGAUAAUUCUGGAAAGACCGGUAGGUGUCGGGGCAGCAUUUGACCUCUUUCAGGUGCUUAGAACCAAGUGACUAGAAACAUGAUCCCUUCACGUAAGUUUCUCACUGGAAGCCUCCACCAUUGACUGUAAGCUGUACUUGAGAAACCUUUUGGCUGGAUUUACUUAUGACCUAACGGUUAGUCACCAACUGAAGCAGGAUACAGAAAUCACUAAAGAGAAAUGUGUCAGCUUUUCAAAAACUGUGUUGUAGAGCCAACAUGCUGCAGAAAUAAAAAUAAGCACACUCACUAGGAAGGUGUAGAGCCCCGGAAAUAAUUUUUUUCUCGCAUUUUGAAAUACCAUGCACAUAUACGUGGCUAUUUAAAAAAAAAAACUACUACUACUGUUGACUCGUUUCUACAACUUUUAUUUUUUCACUUAAAAAUCAAUGAUGGUUACAGUUUAAACCCUGGGCUGGUCUAAAGUGACAUUGUUGGUCUCAUUACAGCCUCUAGUGGACAGUUAAAAUCAGUUUCCUGAAAAGGCUCUGCCUUGUGUUUGUUGACAAGCAUUAUCAAGGUGAAGGUUAAUAUCUCAGACUAUAACGGGGUAAUAUCUCUUCCCCCCAGUUGGCCGAGCCUGUUUCUGAAAGGAGCAGAAGCUGCUGGCUCUGCACGGAAAAGACGUAUGCUUUGUGAGGCAGGUAUUAUUAUUAUUACUGGCCUGUGAAUAAACAGAGAACUUCUGCUAUUCAUUUCAAUUUCAGACCGCUUUCAUAAAAAAAUAAAUUCAUCUAAAAUAUUUUUAUAACAGAAAAUAUUGGUUGCCAUGUUUUUGGCUUAACGGAGAUGUUUUCAUUCCAACUCCUAAUCUGCAGCCUGUCCAAUCCACCUCCACUCUAUUUUUAGACAUCGUACAUUUAGAGAAUUUAGGGGGGAAAAAGAGCUAAUAUUUUAAUUAUUACACUGAUGCAGUUAAUGUCUUUUAACAACCUUAAACAAAUUAAAACACAUAAUUCAGAUUAGAGUCAGUCAAUUAAUUUAAAUGUUCCCUCAAGGAAUCGAAAUAUGUUUAUUACCCAAACAGUAAGAACAAUUAAUAAGAACUGUGUCAUUUACUUACUUAGCCAUUAAGGUUAAAGCCAUAAACUGCCAUUAAAAUCUGUAACUAUUUCUUCAUGCAAGGUCCAACAUAAACAUUAAACGCAUGACACAGCUUGGGGUUAGCAGGUGUAAGCUGUUAUAUAUAGGAUGGAUAAAAAACAAGGUCUUACUGUACAGCACAGGGAACUAUAUUCAAUAUCCUAGGAUAAACCGUAAUAGAGAAGAAUAUUUUUUUAAAAGAAUAUACAUAUAUAUAUAGAUAUGUAUGUAUAACUGAAUCACUUUGCUGUAUAGCAGAAAUGAACACAUUGUAAAUCAACUGUACUUCAGUUUUUAAAAAGGAAAAAAUACUCAUGAUACAGUUUCAUUACCUUUAGUACUGAAAUGUUAUAUUUUCAGAUGGCAAAAUAUUAAAUGUGCAAUCACAAAAAACUGGUACUGAUGCUUUAAAAACAGUACUUUCUCAUACAAAUAAAAACUCAAGGCUUUCAAGAAGCCAGUAAACAAAUAUAUAGUACUAUGGUCCUAUUCAUAAACCUGAUACUAUAUUCAUACAAGCAUAAGUCAAACUUGGAAAUUAAAGGAAAUUGAGAAAUAAGGCUUGCUGAGCCGUACUCCUAAUCUGUGUCCUGCAUUGCCUAAACACCAUGGAAAAUCAUGUUUAUCUCAUAUCUAUUUCACUGUUUUGGUAAUAUCUACUUCUGAAGAUUUCAAAUGACCUUUCAAGUAUGUUUUAUAUCAAAUAAUUACAUAUCACACCUUGUUUCAGAAAGCAUAGUCUUCAGAGCAGCACCAGAAGCAUCUGGAGGCUUUUUAGACAUUCAGAAUGCUAGUUCCACCCCAGACCUACCGAAUCAGAACGCGUUUUUCAAGUGAUUCCUGAGCGCAUUAUAAUGGAAAGAAAACUGCCUAAAACUACAAGGCUCUGUCUAGAGGAAUUCGGCCCCGGUUGCCGAACUUAAUUCUUCUAUUUAUUCUUUUUUUCGCCCUUCCUCUUUUAUUAAUUUGCACUUUUUAAAUGAACGUGUAUUCCCUUUUAUGCUUUGGUCAAAUAGCACUGCAUUUCAGAAGGGCCCUGAUGCUCACACCAAUCUGCAUUAUCACUGCCAGGAGAAGACUCUGGAAGGCGAGCACGGGGGUCUUGAGGAUGAAGGUUUUCUUUCUGGCAGCAGAGGGAGCACGAGAGUACUUAAUCAAGCAAGUGUACAGGCCCUCCCAGUCGUAAGGGAUUUUUAAUUGUAGCAUAUGUCUUCAUGGGAAGUAGCCUCUUUCAUCGUUCACAACAAAACCAAACAAAGACAAGCGAACGCAAACAGCUUACCAGCUUGUAACGACGAAAUAACCAAAUGGAUCGGACGUUAAAUAGACUAUAGUUUUAGGCUUGGCUUCGUAAAAGAAAGUGGACCUCAGCAGUCCUAUUUGAAAAAGAUGCCUUGUUUUUCUGCAAUGAAAAUUAAAGUUUGCCCAACCC
rnacentral:lncRNA from 1 species